rnacentral:rRNA from 1 species
UACGUAGGCAGCGAGCGUUGUUCGGAGUUACUGGGCGUAAAGGGUGUGUAGGCGGCUCUUUAAGUUUGGUGUGAAAUCUCCCGGCUCAACCGGGAGGGUGCGCCGAAUACUGAGGGACUAGAGUAUGGGAUGGGAAAGUGGAAUUCCUGGUGUAGCGGUGAAAUGCGUAGAUAUCAGGAGGAACACCUGUGGUGUAGACGGCUUUCUGGACCAUAACUGACGCUGAGGCACGAAAGCUAGGGGAGCAAACAGG